AAUUAUAACUCGACAAUUUUGUGAUUGUGGACAUGGAAAAAGAUCUAACUUUCCAAUGCACAUAUGAAUGGAAGUUUACAAGCAAGAAGAGAUAGAACUGCACAACAUAGAGGAGCUAACUACAUGUGAAGUAAACAAAUAAUGACAUCAAAUCCGUAACAGUUAGUGAACCUUUGUAUAGCUUACCUCAUCAUGCCAUAUUUCAAA
rnacentral:misc_RNA from 1 species